rfam:Acidiphilium sp. CAG:727 genomic scaffold, scf42
GGGGGUGCACCGAAUUCGACUGUGUAAAAAAGGAACGAUAUAAGCAUAUCGCAGGGCCGCGGCUGCGUUAAAACGCGGGCAAAUUCAAAUGCUAAAAAUGAAAACAACACGGUAAGAUAUAACAAUAAUCUUGCUUUCGCUGCUUAAUUAACGCGGCGGUGUCGCUACGCUUUUUCCCGUCGGAAGCGAUAGCGGCAUAAUUUCAGACGGGGAACGCCCUAAACGGCGCGGUUCUACCGUUUCGGGGGCUUUUUUGAACCGACGUUAUCCUGUAGCCCGUAUCCGGGCAGCGGAUAAAAGAGAUUAAACGGAUACUAAGUAUGUAGAAGGUCGUUUUGUUUUUAUGCAACACAGGAGUUUGACUCUCCUCACCUCCACCA